GUCCAAUGANGGCAGAAAGGUUCCUGCCGCACCUCUUAGGAGGUACCUGAGAUGACGAGGUUACUGAACGUCCAUUGAAU
ncrna:unclassified sequences skipping-rope RNA